UUCACUUUCCUUAGAUCUUAGUUCAGUAUGGUCACACAGUUGAUCUGAAGUCAGAUCCCAGUGAUUUAAAUCCUAAAGACUUAGGCACACAGUUUGACAUGUUAUCAAAGGAAGGUCAACAUGAUUAAUUUUCUCUUUUUCUGUUGCCUAACAGGUGUAUGUCUGGGUGUUGAGGUCCGUCAGUCUCCCUCUGAGUUCAUCACAAAAGCUGGAUCCAAAGUGGAGAUUUUUUGCAGUCAUGAAAAGACUGACUACAGGAUGAUGCUCUGGUACCAGCAGCUGCCUGGAGAGACAGCUAUGAAACUCAUCGGGUGUUUGUCUGGGUGUUAAAGUUUCCCAAACACCUGUGGAAGUUUUCAGAAGACCUGGAGAAAAUGUCCAGCUGGUCUGCAGCCAUGAAAAGACCGACUACAUGCUCAUGCAGUGGUACCAGAAAUCCCCUGGAGACCAGGCUCUGAAGCGCAUUGGACAUUUAUAUUACAACAACAAAGAGCAUGAGGAAGUGUUUAAGACACAUUUUAAUAUUAGUGGAGAUUUGAGUGGAGAUAAAGCAAAGAACGCUUCUCUGUUUAUAGUGGACCUAAAGGCACCUGAGCACAGUGCAGUGUAUUACUGUGCAGCAAGCUAUGCACACUGAGAGGAAAACCCCUCCCUGUAAUACAAAAACUCAAAACCAUUGAAGUGGAUGGUUUUAAACUAACAUACUCCUCCCCACAUCUUGGUUAGAUCCCAGCCAGUAUAAUUUUCACUUCAAUUUUCUCCUCAAUGUCAAUCAGUCAAAGCCCAAUAUUUAGAUCCCUAAAAAACAUAAAUUGGAGGACAAUAUGAUCCCUAUUCUCUUUCUCUGUCUGACAGAUAAUACACUGUUUGCAUAAGAUAAGAUUAUCUAAAAGUGUAAAUGUUAUGAUUUAAGCAAAAUUGGGUUUUUUUAACGUUUCUACGAGUCUUGAGGUUCCGUCAGUCUCCCUUUGAGUUCAUCACAAAUGUUGGUUCAGAUGUUCUGCGGCCAUGAAAAGACUGACUACAGAGUGAUGCUCUGGUAACAGCAGCAGCCUGGAAAGAAAGAUAUGAAACACCUUUUCUUUAAACUUCAAAGUUGUCACAUUUGAAGACCAAUUCAUGAUCAUUUCAAUAUCACUGGAGAUUUGGGUGGGAAUAGAGCAAAAAAGGACCCUGUCCCUAAACAGCACGGCAAAUUUCAGAGCCUAUGAAGCUGUCACAGACAAAGAAAGAAAAUAACAGUGUGUACCACAAACACAGAAACACUAUUUAUUUACAUGAGGUGGCCGUAUGUCUGCAUGUCUGCCCAUUUUCCUGGUGGGAGGGUUUAACAAGAAAUGAGAUAUGAAUAAUCAGCAGAACUGAAUAUACAGUUAUGAAAGCACAGAGAACAUAACAGUGGUGUUCCUGAGUUUAGUUAUGCAAACCAACAUGGUAAUUACUUUCUUCUGCAUAAGCCUUAACAUUAUCCUCGUGUCAGGUUCUUCACUCAGUGACCAAGUCCACCAGGAUCCAUCUGAUAUUUAUAGAAUUCAAGGAGAAACAGCAGAAAUCACCUGUUCACACAAUAUAGACAGCUAUAAUAUAAUCCUCUGGUACAAGCAAACAAAAAACAACCAA